rnacentral:lncRNA from 1 species
CAAUCAGACAGUGACUGAAUUUAGUACGUCAAAUAGAAUAAGCAUUUACGAAAGCGUAUAAGACACGGAUCAAUAACAAAUUUGGAUAUUUUAUCAAAAGGCUUUCUUUUCUGCGGUGGAAAAGAAGACUAACAGUUAUAAAGAAAAAAUACGAAGUUCAAAAUAGCACAGUUGUACGUCAUAUUACGAAUAUUUCCAUCUUUGUCUAGUUUCAGAU